AGUCAAUAGAUACCCGGGUAGUCCACGCCGUAAACGAUGAGUACUAGGUGUAGGAGGUAUCGACUCCUUCUGUGCCGCAGUUAAACACAAUAAGUACUCCGCCUGGGAAGUACGGUCGCAAGAUUAAAACUCAAAGAAAUUGACGGGGGCCCGCACAAGCAGCGGAGCAUGUGGUUUAAUUCGAAGCAACGCGAAGAACCUUACCUAGACUUGACAUCUCCUGAAUAGUGUAGAGAUACAUGAAGCCCUUCGGGGCGAGGAAGACAGGUGGUGCAUGGUUGUCGUCAGCUCGUGUCGUGAGAUGUUGGGUUAAGUCCCGCAACGAGCGCAACCCUUA
rnacentral:rRNA from 1 species